CAAAGUAUAUCGCGUGCAAACUUCAACGAUCUUCCGCUAGGUUGGCCAGACUCAUCAGUUUAUACCGGAAGGACGGAAGUUCAACUAAAUCAGUAGACAUAUGUUACACUAGUCCCAUACUAGUCUUGCAUCUAAAAAUUUAACCUGGAGGGUGCGAAAGAUUCUUGAAGAGAUUCGCUGAGGAGUUCGUAAAAUCUGGAUCUUUGAAGUAAUUGGGUCCUCAAUUGCUUGACAAGGGUCAGCGGUGGAAAUUGUCGAGUGGAUUAUGCGUGACAGCGAGCUCUAACUGUACGAGUAUAGUUGGAGCAUGUCGCGGUCUCUAUUGCCUUAUGAUUGAUAUGCUUCACGUGAUAUUACAUUCAGCAUGGAACGAAGCUAGAACUUUUUAAAGGAAUCCUUGAAAGCAGCAACUUUCGUAUAAUAUUCAAAAAUUCGGUCAGCAGCUGCGUAUUUUGCGGUCGGGAAUGACAGCCAAGUUCUAAUUAAUUGCGUGCUAACGAAGUCAUGCGUCUUUGCGAAUCGUCGAGAGGAUAAGACACUGAGAGAAGAAAGAAAGCUGUAUAAGAAUCAUGUACCUAUUAAUUAGCUCUUUGUGCAAGAAAGGACUAUUCAGAGAGUUUUGUGUGAUUUAAUUGGAACAACUUAAACUGUUCAUUUGCUAUUAUCCAGACGAGCAAUAUUCUUCACACAUAUUAUCUUCGAAUUAGAAAACUUAGUCCAAAUUCUGUAAAAGUUCUUUUCUGUGAUUAAGUUGAUAUUAUGGUUUUUGCUAAUACCUUUUCACACUAUUUGAAAAACAAAAUCAUUUGAUCAGAAAUUCUUUGAAAUACUUAUCCUCGUACUGUGACAGGUGAUAUUAUAUAUACAUAUACAUAUAUCCGUUAUAUGUAAUAUUAUAACUACAUCGUUUUAAUGAAUAGCUGUUUUUGACAUAAAAUCUAUGCUUAUCAUAAGUAAUUGAAAGAUACUUGUCAGGGCGAUAAUAACGAUAGAGUAAACUGCAAGGACCUGAUGAGCGUCAAUCAAUAAAAAAUC